rnacentral:rRNA from 1 species
AUUGAACGCUGGCGGCAGGCCUAACACAUGCAAGUCGAGCGAGCGGCGGAAGGGUGAGUAAUGUAUGGGGACUGCCCGAUAGAGGGGGAUAACUACUGGAAACGGCAGCUAAUACCGCAUACUAUCGGAUAACCCAUAUGGGAUUAGCUAGUGGGUGGGGGAAUGGCUCUCCUAGGCGACGAUCCCUAGCUGGUCUGAGAGGAUGAUCAGCCACACUGGGACUGAGACACGGCCCAGACUCCUCCGGAGGCAGCAGUGGGGAAUCUUGCACAAUGGGCGCAAGCCUGAUGCAGCCAUGCCGCGUGUGUGACGAAGGCCUUCGGGUUUUAAAGUCCUUUCAGUCGGGAGGCGUUACCGACAGAAGAAGCCCCGGCUAACUCCGUGCCAGCAGCCGCGGUAAUUC